UGGGGAAUAUUGCGCAAUGGGGGGAACCCUGACGCAGCCAUGCCGCGUGAAUGAAGAAGGCCUUAGGGUUGUAAAGUUCUUUCGGUAUUGAGGAAGGUUGAUGUGUUAAUAGCACAUCAAAUUGACGUUAAAUACAGAAGAAGCACCGGCUAACUCCGUGCCAGCAGCCGCGGUAAUACGGAGGGUGCGAGCGUUAAUCGGAAUAACUGGGCGUAAAGGGCACGCAGGCGGUUAUUUAAGUGAGGUGUGAAAGCCCCGGGCUUAACCUGGGAAUUGCAUUUCAGACUGGGUAACUAGAGUACUUUAGGGAGGGGUAGAAUUCCACGUGUAGCGGUGAAAUGCGUAGAGAUGUGGAGGAAUACCGAAGGCGAAGGCAGCCCCUUGGGAAUGUGCUGACGCUCAUGUGCGAAAGCGUGGGGAGCAAACAGGAUUAGAUACCCUGGUAGUCCACGCUGUAAACGCUGUCGAUUUGGGGGUUGGGGUUUAACUCUGGCGCCCGUAGCUAACGUGAUAAAUCGACCGCCUGGGGAGUACGGCCGCAAGGUUA
rnacentral:rRNA from 1 species